CGUCGUCGCCAUUUUUGAUGUGGCAAGCAAGCGAUCGGAGAAGAUGCCUUAUUCAUGUGCUGCGUGGAAUUAUACCAACCGGUUUACAAUUGAAAUCAGAUCUGCUGGCAUUACCUUUCACAUGUAAGAAUAAAAAUUGCGUAUGGUUGUAUUUGCUCGGUUUAAUGCCAUUUUACGAAGACAUAUUUGCAGACUAAAUGGCUCCUACUGUGAAUUACUGCUGAUAAUACUAUGAAUUCCAGUCUCCAAACAACCAAGAAGUAUUUCCAAUUUAACAAAAUUGACCCGAAGUUCCUACACUUCAUAGCCACACUAUGUGAAGGAACCAGUGAUGUAUUUUGUAUUACACUGUGAGAUAAUUUCUAUAGUUUAUCAUUCGCUUUAACCUGUGGCUACCAGACGUCUCAGACCCCAAAGAAGGCACAGGAGACCCUGUGGCCGGACUGUUCCCAGCUUGUCCGAGAGGCAGAGUCCCUGCCUGUGCCCAGUGAUAUCACAGGCACGCACGUACAUUGAAACAGGACCACUCCUAUGCUCUGCCAAUACCCAAUGACGAUCUGAUGGCCAGACUAAGGGAAGCGUUUUCUAUGGUGGGGAGUGUGAAAAGAGAGAGGAAGGAAAAGAACACUGUGACUCGUCUUCUUGAGGAUCUCAGGGUGAAGAAACUCAUAAAGGAAGAGUUAAAUGAGGAGCUUGAUGUGCACUCAGAUCUUGAUGAUUCCAAAACAGCGUCAGCGGUGCGUCUGCUACCACUUUACCCAGAAUCACUUGGAACUCCUCUUUAAUUCAAUCAGGGUGUCAGGAAUGGAUUUUCUUAUUUUUUACUCUGUGGUUUGUCUUUAUGGAUGCCUUUUAUAUACUGUGUAUGUAAGUGUGGUGUUUUGUGUGUGCUUUAGGGCUGAUAUAACAACCCCUCAGCCAGCUGGUUCCAGGCCAUUUUCAACCAUUUAAAGGUGCAGUGCGGUGUGUCUCCAAGCACAUGAGGAUGAGACCGUGUACCUGUCUGCUUUUGAGAUGUUCUCUUGUCCAGCUGCAGAAGAAACGGAAGACCUACUGCUUUGUGUGUGACCAUAGCUAUCUACUAACUUGCUUUGGUGGUCUUGUGGACUAUGCACUGGUGUACAUCUCAGGGUUUGAUGUUUGCCAUAUGCUGAAAAAGCUGUCCUGUGAUGUGUGACGUGGUAGUUUGGUGACUGAUGCUGUACCUGCAUCAUUUGCUCUGAGUUACCACUUGCUCACACUAAAAAACAAAGGAGGGCUGGUAAUUCCUCCUGAGGGCACGGCAGUGGUGGUCAGAUCAGCUGAGCAUUUUGUUUGCCUGAUGAUGUCAUGGCAAGUUGUCAAAGUGGCCUUGUUCUGUUAGUGUGUCUGGGCUGAGAUUGGUUCUCAGGGUGUGUUUUUUCUGGGUGGUGGGGCACAUUUAAGAAACACAGUUUGGACGUGACAACCACCAUUUUGUGCUGAUGUCACUAGUUGUGUCCCUCCACAAACUGAGGCUGCACCAUGUUGCCAAACUGAACACUCUUUUGUUGCAAAGUGGCAACACACGGCAAAAAAAAACUUUUCCAAGGUUUUUAACUUACACACACACACACAGAGAGACAGACAGCAGUUCAAUUC